rnacentral:rRNA from 1 species
UUCGACCUGAGAUCAGACGAGAUUACCCGCUGAAUUUAAGCAUAUCAAUAAGCGGAGGAAAAGAAACUAACAAGGAUUCCCCUAGUAACGGCGAGCGAAGCGGGAAUAGCCCAGCACCGAAUCCCUGCCUCGCAGGUAGCGGGAACUGUGGUGUUUAGGACAGCCUAUGGGGUGGUGUUCGGACGUCCGAGUCCUCCUGAUCGGGGCCUUUCCCAUAGCGGGUGUCAGGCCUCUACUGCGACCGUCGCCUCCCCUUUGUGCGUCCUUGGAGUCGGGUUGUUUGGGAAUGCAGCCCAAAGUGGGUGGUAAACUCCAUCUAAGGCUAAAUACUGACACGAGACCGAUAG